rnacentral:rRNA from 1 species
UACGUAGGGGGCUAGCGUUGUCCGGAUUUAUUGGGCGUAAAGAGCGUGUAGGCGGCCAGGUAGGUCUGGUGUGAAAACUCGAGGCUUAACCUCGAGAUGUCAUCGGAAACCAUCUGGCUAGAGUCCGGAAGAGGAGAGUGGAAUUCCUGGUGUAGCGGUGAAAUGCGCAGAUAUCAGGAGGAACACCGAUGGCGAAGGCAGCUCGCUGGGACGGUACUGACGCUGAGACGCGAAAGCGUGGGGAGCGAACAGG